UAACUGAACAUGCAAAUGUUCGCUAUCAGCAGUCAGUCGAAGCCAUUUAGUACUAGAUAAUUUUGGAAUAUCUAGGAAGGGC
rfam:Virgibacillus sp. LM2416 chromosome, complete genome.